GAUAAAGAACGUAGCGAAAUGCGAUAAGUAAUGUGAAUUGCAGAAUUCAGUGAAUCAUCGAAUCUUUGAACGCACAUUGCGCCCGCCAGUAUUCUGGCGGGCAUGCCUGUUCGAGCGUCAUUUCAACCAUCAAGCCCCCGGCUUGUGUUGGGGACCUGCGGCUGCCGCAGGCCCUGAAAACCAGUGGCGGGCUCGCUGUCACACCGAGCGUAGUAGAUUUUCAUCUCGCUCAGGGCGUGCUGCGGGUUCCGGUCGUAAAAAGCCUUAUUUACCCAAGGUUGACCUCGGAUCAGGUAGGAAGACCCGCUGAACUUAAGCAUAUCAAUAAGCGGAGGA
rnacentral:misc_RNA from 1 species